UACGAAGGGGGCUAGCGUUGCUCGGAAUUACUGGGCGUAAAGCGCACGUAGGCGGCUCUUUAAGUCGGAGGUGAAAUCCUGGAGCUCAACUCCAGAACUGCCUUCGAUACUGAAGAGCUCGAGUCCGGGAGAGGUGAGUGGAACUGCGAGUGUAGAGGUGAAAUUCGUAGAUAUUCGCAAGAACACCAGUGGCGAAGGCGGCUCACUGGCCCGGUACUGACGCUGAGGUGCGAAGGCGUGGGGAGCAAACAGG
rnacentral:rRNA from 1 species